AUAAUGAGGACACCACACAUACACGCACGUAUAGUAUGCGCUGAGCGAAAUAAUCAUCACACAACACAACAGGCUUGACUAAGUCACUUCGGCGUCGUUUUUAUCUGUUGUUUUGCCCUUUCUCGAGCUUUUGAAUACGCAAAAGUCGGUAAGCAUUGAGUGAACAGUUAGUUGUUAAGUCUAUUGUGUACAGAGCCACAAACGAAGGCGCCGCCUGUUUUGGUACUAGUUUAUAAGGACCCACACACGAUGGAAUUGGGCCAGGCUGUAUAGUGUAACUCGGAGCCACGGGGGAGUCUUUUAUUGUCCCCUAGAACAAACUAAAGAUAUAAACCCCAGUUAUAAUUUCACUUCACAGGCAAAGAGGUUAUACCGAAGGUUCUUUUGGCAACCGCCGGCGGUACUCUAUCCACAAAGGACAAAUUUAUGCUAAAAUAUUUCAAAGAGGCCGUACAGUUCCGAUGCCUGCAAACAGCUGCCUCAGUUUCAACCAGCAAACAACUACAGCGAAUCUUGAGAAUCAUAUCAACUACACUCUCCCUAACCAUAUUUCCACACCUCAACACCAGACAAACUGGCUCAGAAAGUCUAGGAAAGGAAAAGAUGUUCUUGGAUUACAACAAGAGACCUUAAAGCAGGGAAAGCUCAUUUAUAUAAUAAAGGUUUCGCAUAGCUCAGAAUUGUUGCAACACAGAUAGAAUUAGUUGGGAGAAAUUUGAGCAGAUCCCACCAGCUCCUCUUACGGUUGAUGGCUUUGCUGUGAUAUUACUGUGGUUCCCAGCUAGAUUCAUUUGGAUUACGGAAACCAUAUUUACUAAAUUUAUAGAAAGGUUCUGUGUAACUAAGAAUUAUGGCAGUGCAGGAACAUUUUGUUGAGAGAAAUUUGUACAGUUUUCAUCUAUUUCUCCCCUAUUGGACCUUUCCCUGUGUUUCCCAGCUAGAAUCAAUUGGAUUACGGACACUAUCUUUGCUAAACUUGUUAAGACUAAUGGUGUGGUAGCUGCAAGGCUCUCCAAAAGUACGUGAUUUAGCAACACAAGCGGAUGAACUCAAAUCUGGGAAAUUUCUCACACUGCGUGAACUGUCAAAUGAUUCACAAGAUGGCAUAAUUCCCCCACAGAGUAACAAGCAUACACAAGAAAACAUAUUAACC